rnacentral:rRNA from 1 species
ACUCAAAGGAAUUGACGGGGGCCCGCACAAGCAGUGGAGUAUGUGGUUUAAUUCGAAGCAACGCGAAGAACCUUACCAGGGCUUGACAUACAGUGGAAUAUACUAGAGAUAGUAUAGCUCUUCGGAGCUGCUGUACAGGUGGUGCAUGGUUGUCGUCAGCUCGUGUCGUGAGAUGUUGGGUUAAGUCCCGCAACGAGCGCAACCCCUGUUGUUAGUUGCCAUCAUUAAGUUGGGCACUCUAGCGAGACUGCCGGUGACAAAUCGGAGGAAGGUGGGGACGACGUCAAAUCAUCAUGCCCCUUAUGUCCUGGGCUACACACGUACUACAAUGGCUGUUACAGCAGGAAGCGAAGGAGUAAUCCGGAGCAAAACCUCAAAAACAGUCCCAGUUCAGAUUGUGGGCUGCAACUCGCCCACAUGAAGUCGGAAUUGCUAGUAAUGGCAGGUCAGCAUACUGCCGUGAAUACGUUCCCGGGCCUUGUACACACCGCCCGU